AGCAGCCGCGGUAAUUCCAGCUCCAAUAGCGUAUAUUAAAGUUGUUGCAGUUAAAAAGCUCGUAGUUGAACCUCGGGAUCGAUGGAUCGGUCAUGCCAUCGGUAUGUACUGGUCCCAUCGGUUCUCACCUUCUAAGGAACCAUGAUGUCAUUCAUUUGAUGUUGUGGGGAAUUAGGACUGUUACCUUGAAAAAUUAGAGUGUUUAAAGCAGGCCAACGCUUGAAUACAUUAGCAUGGAAUAAUGAAAUAGGACAUCGCAUUCUAUUUUGUUGGUUUCUAGGAUCGAUGUAAUGAUUAAUAGGGAUAGUUGGGGGCAUUAGUAUUCAAUUGUCAGAGGUGAAAUUCU
rnacentral:rRNA from 1 species